GACGAACGCUGGCGGCGUGCCUAACACAUGCAAGUCGAACGGAAAGGCCCUGCUUUUGUGGGGUGCUCGAGUGGCGAACGGGUGAGUAACACGUGAGUAACCUGCCCUUGACUUUGGGAUAACUUCAGGAAACUGGGGCUACUACAGGAUAGGAGCUCCUGCUGCAUGGAGGGGGUUGGAAAGUUUCGGCGGUUGGGGAUGGACGCGCGGCUUACCAGCUAGUUGGUGGGGUAGUGGCUUACCAAGGCUUUGGCGGGUAGCCGGCAUGAGAGGGUGACCGGGGACAAUGGGCCUGAGAUACGCAGCAGUCUGGUACGUUAGACAGCAGGCGGGAGUAUUGCCCAAUCGGAGCGAGUCUGAUAAGACGACGCCGCGUGCGGAAUGACGGCCUUCUGGGUAUAAACCGCUGUAGCCUAUGACGAAGCGUGAGUGACGGUAAUGGGUAAAGAAGCACCGGCUAACUACGUG
rnacentral:rRNA from 1 species